UAUUUAGUGGCCAUAGUAUAUUAAAAAAUUCAUAAGUUUUGAUGUGACAAAAAAUAAAUUAAAAUUUUUUUUAACGGUGUAAUUUCUCAAAUAUUUUUCUUUUAAAAGCAUUAUUGUAAAACUUGGCAACCUUCACUCUAUUUAACCAUCAAUUACCAAAGGUGCAAUGACGAAACUGAUUGUUAUGCAGAUAAUUUUAUGCCAUUUAUUAUUUGAAUAAAACGUCGGACAAAUGGCUACCACGGCUCUGUUUGCAUAUGUCUACCCGUUUACUCCAAUUUUCGAUGCUGGAAUUUCAACUAUAGUGCGCGCAAAUGUUGUCUUCGAGCGCCUCGAGCGUUGCUGAUUCAUUGACGUAAACCUUUGAUUUAACAUACCCUCCAAAAAAAAACAAUAAUCUAAAGGCGUUUGACUGGGCCAUAUUUGAAAUGAACGAGUUGCCAAACUUUUCUCGCAAUGUGUCCAUGUUUAGACGUCAAACAUGAGGCGGCGCACCGUCUUGUUAUAAAUAGAAAACGUUCACGUAGAUUUCAUCAAAGAAAAAAAGUCGAUCAAUAUCGUGUUAUAACGCUCGCUAUUGAUGGCAACGACAUUUCCUUCCUCAUUUCGAAAAAAAAUAAGGACCGAAGAUGCCGCCAUACCACAAUUCGCACCAAACGGUCACUUUUUGGGGAUGCGAUUACGUUUCCUGAACCACACGACGAUUUGAUGCACACCAAUAGUGAAAAUUUUAUUUGUUUUGAUAUGAGAAAAUGAUUUUGCAUUUAGUAGCCGCCGGAAAACGUAAAUUUGCGUAAUAAUUUUGGACAAUUUCCAAAAGUUGUACCAAAGCGAAACCUGACAUGAUGAAAUGGCAAACUUUACUGAACACACUAACAAAAUUUGACAAGUCCGUAAAAAAACAUGACCGCCUUGGCAUUAGAACACAAUAAAAUCCAAUACCGCUUAAAGAUCCUAAAUAAAAUCAAAUAUUAAUUCAGAA